AGCGAACGCUGGCGGCAGGCCUAACACAUGCAAGUCGAACGAACCUUUCGGGGUUAGUGGCGGACGGGUGGGCAGCCGGUUGGAUCGUGCCUAUAGGUUCGGCAUGACGCGGGGGAUCAUGUGCGAAUACGGAAGGUGCUCUCCGGGGGGAAGUGUGGUCGCCUGUAGAGGGGCUGGCGUCCGAAUAGCUAGUGGGUUGAGUUAAUGGCGCCCCAAGGCGACGAUCAUUAGCUGGUCUGAGAGGAUGAGCAGCCACAUUGGGACUGAGACACGGCCGAGAAUCCUACGGGAGGCAGGAGUGGGGAAUCUUGCGCAAUGGGCGAAAGGAUGACGCAGCCAUGCCGGGUGAAUGAUGAAGGUCGUAGGAUUGUAAAAUUCUUUCAUCGGGGGCGAUAAUGACGGUACCCGGAGAAGAAGCCCCGGCUAACUUCGUG
rnacentral:rRNA from 1 species